rnacentral:lncRNA from 1 species
AAAACACUUCAUUAAAAAGCACAAAGGCAAACAGCAGUCAAAACAUUAGAUUCAACAGAAUAUCAGAGCUAAAAAGAAAGACAGAAGCAAAAACACUUAGGCAAACAAACAAAAAUAAAUCCUAAGUGCCCUAAGGGUUUGGAGUUGAGGAAGUCUCUGAAGCAACAUGGCAAACAUGUUCUGGAUGUUUUCGUUCAGAGCAUCUUGCUUGUCCAUCCUGGCACGAAGCUCAUU